GAGGGAGUGGCUCAGGGGUAGAGUAUGUGACUAAUGUGCAUGAGGUCCUGGGUUCAAUCCCCAGUCCUUCC
rnacentral:tRNA from 1 species